rnacentral:tRNA from 1 species
ACUUAAGUAGCUUAAAUUUAAAGCUUAAUAUUGAAGCUAUUAUGAUAAGGUAUACCUUCUUAAGUA